rnacentral:rRNA from 1 species
AGCACGUAUGGUGGGCACUCUAAGGAAGACUGCCGGUGACAAACCCGGAGGAAAGGUGGGGAUGACGUCAAGUCAUCAUGGCCCUUACGGCCUGGGCUACACACGUGCUACAAUGGUCGGUACAAAGGGUUGCCAAGCCGCGAGGUGGAGCUAAUCCCAUAAAACCGAUCGUAGUCCGGAUCGCAGUCUGCAACUCGACUGCGUGAAGUCGGAAUCGCUAGUAAUCGUGAAUCAGAAUGUCACGGUGAAUACGUUCCCGGGCCUU